AGUGAAUCUGAAAAACUUGGGUACACUGACGAACCGUUUGUCCUAGCCAAUGAUGUGGCACAGGUUAUCUAUGUGAAGGACAUGUCUACCAGACCGAGAAAGAGAAAAGAUAAGGAAGCGAAUACAUCAUACGAUGAGCCAAAGCGCCACAUAGUUCUUUCAGGAAAAAGGGACAUCGUGGGAGUGGAGGACAAGACAGACAUGUCUGAAGAUUAUGAAAAGUUUCAUGAAAUUCCUCCCUUUAAAGUCAAGGCUGACCCCAGCAUCCUGAUAAACGAUGAAGAUUAUCCAUGGUUACGGCGCAAUAAGCAAAUGACACAAGCGAAGAAAAAGUGA
rnacentral:rRNA from 1 species